GACGAACGCUGGCGGCGUGCUUAACACAUGCAAGUCGAACGAAGUGGCGAACGGGUGAGUAAUACGGGGGUAACCUGCCCUCCUUUUUGGGAUAAGCCUUGGAAACGGGGUCUAAUACCGAAUAAAGGGUGAUGGGCUAGCGGUGUAUGAGCUUGUUGGUGGGGUGAUGGCCUACCAAGGCGGUGUCGGGUAGCCGGCCUGAGAGGGUGACCGGGCACAGUGGGACUGAGAUGCGGCCCAGGCGCCUACGGGGGGCAGAAGUGGGGGAUAUUGGACAAUGGGUGAAAGACUGAUGCAGCGAGGGCGCGUGAGGGAUGAAGGCUGUCGGGUUGUAAACCUCGGUCGCUAUCGAACGGGUAGGUAGAGAAGAAGCGCCGGCUAACUACGUGCCAGCAGCCGCGGUAAUAC
rnacentral:rRNA from 1 species